AUUUAGAUGAAAGAAAAACGAAAGUGUGUGUACUCUGUGGACUGUUAGCCGCACAGACGCAGAAGUACACAAAUAGAGUAAGUGCACGAAUGGGUAAGUAGUGAAGGGAGCCUAUCCCCGCGUUUUUAGGCCCGAACGUGGGAAAUAGCCAGACGCUAUUUCCCACAUUUAUGCUUACGUGUAUGUGCCGGUCUCAUGACCGGAAGCGGGUAGCGAAGACGGCUAGAAGUCGGUGG